AGAAGGGGCAGAAACACUUUCAAGAAGGAGUUUUGAGACGUCUUUUUCUGAACAGUCAGCAGAUGUUUGGUGAUCUAUUCUUGACACCAUCAUUUAGAAAGUUUUAUAAGUCGAGUUUAGAUCACUGGAACUCAAACUGUGAACACAGACUGAGUGAGAAACUCAAACUCUUCUGUUUGGAGGACAAACCUGUGUGUUUAAUGUGUAUUUAAUCACUAAACACAUCAAUCACUCUUUCAGACACACCACUGAAGUUGUUCCAUCAUAUAAGAUUUCUCUGGAUCAUACUGGACCUUGUACUGGACACUGAUGUUUAUAAGAUUUUCUAUUCAUUUCUACUAAAGGAAAGACAAGCCAGGAAGAAGAGAAGAUUCUUAGUUGAAGCUCUCGGAGAAGUAAUAAAACCAGACUGGGUCAAGGGUGAUUUGUUCCUUAACUUUGUUCUUCAGUUACAUCAAGAUGAUGAGUUUGAUCAAUGUACAAAAUCAACUUCCUGAAUCUUCUGAAAAUAAUCAAUCCACUCUUGAGAAAGGAG